rnacentral:rRNA from 1 species
UAAGGUGGGGGAUAACUCGGGGAAACUCGAGCUAAUACCGCAUAUUCUACUUGUAGAGAAAGAUGGCCUCUGAUUUAAGCUAUGGCCUUAGGAUGAACCUGCGUCCGAUUAGCUAGUUGGUAAGGUAAAGGCUUACCAAGGCGACGAUUGGUAGCUGGUCUGAGAGGACGAUCAGCCACACUGGGACUGAGACACGGCCCAGACUCCUACGGGAGGCAGCAGUGGGGAAUAUUGGACAAUGGGCGCAAGCCUGAUCCAGCAAUGCCGCGUGUGUGAAGAAGGCCUGCGGGUUGUAAAGCACUUUAGUUGGGGAGGAAGGAGCUAUUGUGAAUAAUGAUAGCUUUUGACGUUACCCAAAGAAUAAGCACCGGCUAACUCUGUGCCAGCAGCCGCGGUAAUACAGAGGGUGCGAGCGUUAAUCGGAAUUACUGGGCGUAAAGGGCGCGUAGGUGGUUGUUUAAGUUAGAUGUAAAAUGUCCGGGCUUAACCUGGAUGGGUCAUCUAAUACUGAAUGAUUAGAGUACAGUAGAGGGUAGCGGAAUUUCCGGUGUAGCGGUGAAAUGCGUAGAUAUCGGAAGGAACACCAGUGGCGAAGGCGGCUACCUGGACUGCAACUGACACUGAGGCGCGAAAGCGUGGGUAGCGAACAGGAUUAGAUACCCUGGUAGUCCACGCCGUAAACGAUGACAACUAGCCGUUGGUACCGAAGGGUAUGAGUGGCGCAGCUAACGCGAUAAGUUGUCCGCCUGGGGAGUACG